CAGCGCCACAAGUGGGGGCCAUGUUUAUUGGGCCUAAAGCGUUCGUAGCUGGUUCUGUUAAUCUCUUGUGAAAUCGUUGGGCUUAACCUAACGGCGUGCAGGAGACACUGCAGAACUUGGGACCGGGAGGGGUUAGAAGUAUUUUUGGGGGAGCGGUAAAAUGCAGUAAUCCCAAGAGGACUACCUGUGGCGAAGGCGUCUAACCAGAACGGGUCCGACAGUGAGGAACGAAAGCCAGGGGAGCAAACCGGAUUAGAUACCCGAGUAGUCC
rnacentral:rRNA from 1 species